GACGGGGCCCGCACAUGCGGAGGAACAUGUGGUUUAAUUCGAUGAUACGCGAGGAACCUUACCUGGGCUUAAAUGGGGAGUGACAGCUGUCGAAAGAUGGUUUUCUUCGGACACUCUUCAAGGUGCUGCAUGGUUGUCGUCAGCUCGUGCCGUGAGGUGUCGGGUUAAGUCCCAUAACGAGCGCAACCCUUACCGUUAGUUACCAUCAGGUUAAGCUGGGGACUCUAGCGGGACUGCCACCGUAAGGUGAGAGAAGGUGGGGAUGACGUCAAAUCAGCACGGCCCUUAUGUCCAGGGCUACACACGUGUUACAAUGGCCAGUACAAAGGGCAGCUACCGGGUGACCGGAUGCUAAUCUCUAAAGCUGGUCUCAGUUCGGAUCGAAGUCUGCAACCCGACUUCGUGAAGCUGGAUUCGCUAGUAAUCGCGCAUCAGCCAUGGCGCGGUGAAUACGUUCCCGGGCCUU
rnacentral:rRNA from 1 species